UUUAUUAAUGACAAUUCAGUAGUAAUUAUACCAUUGAUGUAAAUUGUCAUUAUGAGUUUAUGUUACUGGCUUCCUUUUGUGUUAGUGGAUUAGAAAGUUCUAUAAAAAAAAAUUAGAAGAGCUUGAAUCAUUUCAGGAAAAUCUGCCAGGAAAUCAUGAAAAGCUUGCCAAUAUUUAAAACAAAAGGAGACAUGAAAUCUUAAUGAAGAUCAUGAUAAACAAUCUAUAUCAAAAAAGUGCAGAAAGAGUUAUUUAUCAUAUAAUGAAGAACAUAAUAAGGACAAUUACACAAUACUUAUACGUCCGAUUGUUCCUACAGGACUGACAAACUCUUUAGUUAAAUCAGUUUUUCAACCUAACAAGCUUAAAUCUCAUCCCAGGCUCAGAAAUACCAAAAGUACAGCUGAACUAUUUCAGGGGACAAUAUCCAAAACAGUUUUAAUAGACUACUCUUCAAGUGAGAGUAAAACAAUGAAUUCAUCAGGUUGUAAAUGCAUUGAAGAGAUUAAAAAUAUCAGGUCAACCUGACGACAAAGCCGCUUAUAAAUCAAUUUCCUCAAAAUUUUCUCAUGCUAUUAAAACAUAUCAUGCAGCAAAAGAACUAAAGAUGAUAUGCAAAAACGAUCUUGGUUGUUUCUUUAAUAUUGCAUAUAAUAAACUUAAAACGAUUAGUAAACUGACUGAGAUUUGUCGAUCGGAUAAUACUUUUUCACAAAAUAAAGAAAAUAUAUCGGGUACUUUUAAUGAAUUUUUUGCACAUGAUUAUAUGUUGAUAACGGUUCAUCGCCAAAGUUUAUGGAUUGUAUUCAUGUAAGUACAACUUGCCUGCCAUCGAUAAACUUCUCUCCUUUUACUGUAUAAAAACAUUCAGAUCAAUUAAAACUUACUACAUCUACUGGUCCAGAUAGCAUUCUAAAUGAUCUAUUAAAUCUCUGUGCCAAAAUUUUAGCAGUCCAUUUUUUUUCAUUUGUUUGUUACCUCAUUUAAAUAUGGUGUAUUACCGAUAUGCUGAAAAAUAGCAAAUGUUGUUCCAAUACAUAAAAAGGGACCAACAGUUGAUCCAAAAAGCUUUUGAUUCAGUUCUACAUUCUAAAUUACAAAGGCAUUAAAAAGGUAUAUUUCGAUAUACCUGUUGAGAAUCGGAUUCCUUUUAAAUAGAAUAGUCUGGAUUAAUUUGUUUUAAAUAGACUAGUCUGGAUUGGUUUGUCUAGGGUUAGGGUUAGGGUUAUACAAUACAAGAUUAAGAAUACAACUUUAUUUAGGGUUAUACAAUGCAAGGUUAAGAAUACAACUGAGUGAUUAGAGUUAGUAAACUCUAAUCACUCAG
rnacentral:lncRNA from 1 species